rfam:Ictidomys tridecemlineatus contig023506, whole genome shotgun sequence.
GGAGUUGUAGCUCAGUGGUAGAGCACUUGUCUUGCAAGUAUGAGGCACUGAGUUCAAUCCUAGCACCA